ACUUCCUGGCUGACUGAAACAGAACUCUUGGCAUCUCAGUCUUCAUUGCUAUGGGAUGCACAUACCACAUGGGUAAAGGCAGCCAGAGAGAGGAGAAACCACAUUGGUAAUUGCUAUGUGAGUUACCCCUGCUGGAAAACAUCUUUGUAGAAAAGGGCUUGGGAGUUCUGGUGGCCACCAAGCUGAACAUGAGCCAACAGUGUUCACUUACGGCAAAGAAGGCUGAAGGUAUCCUGGGCUUUAUUAGGACUAUUUCCAGCGAGUCAAGGAAGGUGAUCCUUCCUCUCUGUUCAGCCCCGGGUCCUUUAAGCAGCAAACACCAGCAAUGCUCAAUCAGGAAAGAGCAAAGGGGAAAGCAGUAAUGAGAUACAGCAAGAAAACCCACAAUCAGUAGCAGCUGUUGCCCAAUUAAACUCAACAGUUCACAGGUGUUCACAAGAGGAUACACAGUUUUGUCAAUACUAAGAUAUAGUCUCAUUUCUGGAGCAGCAAAUUAAUGAACAAUACAAUCCUGUCAAGCCUCUGCAUGUGGACACUACUGUCAAUUUGACAGGAUCCUAUUUCACAUACU